rnacentral:misc_RNA from 1 species
AUUAGAAAUUACACGACCCUUCGGCAAAGGUGAUUCUAUUGUCCAGUCUAGCCCUUUACUAUCUUUUGUCUGUCCCCCAGCAAGAUAACUGGUAAGACAACUUUUGACCCCAUAUCGCGUUUGAAGGGUUAAGUCAGUUGCAUUUUGACCAUGUCGAAGUAUCCUUGUGCUAAAUUUUAAAUUAUUUUAAAAAUAAUAUGUAAUAGAAAUUUGGAACAUAUCUAAAUUGACAACAACGAAACCCUACAAAAACGAUCUGCGAAAGAGAAGCCAAACAAAAAUGACGCAACAAAUAAAACAAAUCAACCACCGUUAUAACGUGACCUCCCUCAAACCUCUUUUGGCAGCUAAAGUGGAUCAUUUAGGGACACGGCGCUGUUCCGUCUCAAGAUGGACUUAAGAAGCAAAAAGGAAAGAGUCCGCGGGGUGGCGCCACCCUGCCUCCCCCCAUCGGAAUACAGAAUAAUAAUCGCCAAAAGAAACGAGGGGGAGGGAAAAAUAUAAAUAGCUAUAUCUACCUCUUGAAGAUAUUAAAAUUUGUAUAAGAAAUACAGAGGCCCGGUUCAAUCUUGUUGAAAUAUAAUUUUCGACCUCUUAUUUACUAAGUAGUUCUCGUCAUAAAAUACACGUUCUUAUUAAAUGUUACGUUUCUGUUCUGAUAAUAAUGUGUACAACGUGAUAUAUUACAAAUUUUCUUUUUAAAUUUUCGGAUAAAAUUUUGUAAAAUGGUUAUUUAAUUUAUUUUUAUUAUUUUAUAGUAAAUUCACUUUUACAUGUCAACUGUAAAAUAAAAAAAUUUAGAUUUGUGAUGGGCCGCUAUCAAGCCAUUGUAAUAAUUUAAGUAUGCCACAAUAUUUUUUUUAAUUGUAUUAACAAGGGUAAGGCUUUAUUGCAGAAACGCAAAAAAGGUUUUUGUAAAAAUUCCACACUUUACGUACUCAUAAAUGAAGAAUGUUCAAUUAGAAGAAAAAAAAAA